GACAUCAGAGUGAGUUCUUUCGGUCGGCCUUAUGGGUCAGAACUGGGCGACUCUCUCUUGCUUGUGGAUCCCGCCCGAGGUUAAUUUCUCGGAUGUGGACUCCACAUCGUUUACCUUGAAAAAAUUAGAGUGUUCAAAGCAGGCGUUUGCUUGAAUAUAUUAGCAUGGAAUAAUGGAAUAGGACCCUGGUUCUAUUUUGUUGGUUUUGAGGACCAGAGUAAUGAUUAAUAGGGAUAGUUGGGGGCAUUCAUAUUUCAUUGUCAGAGGUGAAAUUCUUGGAUUUAUGAAAGAUGAACUUCUGCGAAAGCAUUUGCCAAGGAUGUUUUCAUUAAUCAAGAACGAAAGUUAGGGGAUCGAAGACGAUCAGAUACCGUCGUAGUCUUAACCAUAAACUAUGCCGACUAGGGAUUGGGCGUGGUUUGUUCAUUGACCCGCUCAGCACCUUACGAGAAAUCAAAGUCUUUGGGUUCCGGGGGGAGUAUGGUCGCAAGGCUGAAACUUAAAGGAAUUGACGGAGGGGCACCACCAGGAGUGGAGCCUGCGGCUUAAUUUGACUCAACACGGGAAAACUUACCAGGUCCAGGACAUAGUAAGGAUUGACAGAUUGAGAGCUCUUUCUUGAUUCUAU
rnacentral:rRNA from 1 species